GCUGCCAGGGGGCCGCGGCGCCGGACGGUGCUUGCCGCGGAGCCGGGCUCUCGCUGCCCGGCCCGCCGUGCUCCAGCGUAGGACCCGGGCCGGGCCGAGCCCGUGUCACCCCCGCGCACCCAGGAGGGCCGGCAGGCGAUGCUCUGGCAUCAGGGUGACAUGUCCCGCUUCCAGGGGGAAGAUCUGCUACACUGCCUGUUUCUGGCCUCUCUUAGCGUGGGUACCGAGCACGACAGGGGUGUGUGUACGUUCAAGGGGUGCAUUUGUAUGUUUGUACAUACUUGUUCGGUCUUGACUGAGACAAUCACGUGUGAAUUGGAAAUAGGGUUACACUUGCUGGCAAAACCCUACGAUUAUAGUCAGUCUCAUCUGGACUGACGGGAGGACAGCAGUUGCUUCACGCAGUGCCUGUGUGCAGCUUUCACCCAAGCGGUGAUGGUGGCGAUGUAGCCCCACGUCGAGAAGUGCCCAUACAAGACCUACAACCACAAGUAUGUCUGUGUGAGUUUCUGUGCUAGUGACCCGUGCUGUCACUACUGGCUCAGGGAUGAAGCUUCACAUUGUCAUGCUGGAUUCCACACCUGCUGGUCUAUUGCCCUUGUACGCCUGGUGACGUUAGGUGCUACAAAGAACACAAACCCCCUGUCCCAAAACAUGACAUUUGUAUCCUCAGAAGAAUCUAUUCUCUGAUGUAAAGGCAAAAUGUAUUAUAAAAGUCUAUUAUUUUUCAGUCUUAUCAUUUUCCCUUUUAAGCUUAUGAAAAUGAUGCCUGUGGACUUUCUAUCAGUAAAGUCAUAAUAACAUCAUGAUAUACUGAUGACAAAAGUACUGACAGAACAAAAUAUAUGAGGACAAGUUUGAACUGUGGGAAAGAGAACGAAGAGUGUGUUUCAGUGCUGUAUGGGCAGACAUGAAGAAAAAAAGCUUUUAUUUGAUCAGCUUUUUUUUUAGUGUUGUUAUCUAACUGAUUUUAGAACUAAAUGCAGUUUUAGAAAAAAAACCUUGAUUUUUACUUAACAAAUACAGGGAAAAAUAAACUAUAGCAGUGGUGGUGAUCUGGUCUGCUCAGAGAACACAAACAGCAAUUUUCCUUAAAUUUUGCUGGUAUCAGUGGCUCUUUAAUUUUUACAAAGUUAGAAAGUUAUUCCGUCACAAGCACAGGGGUACACGUGGGAGUAGAGGUUGAUCAGUUACAUUUGCCUAACUAUCAGAAGCAAAUUAAAAGCACUUCAAAACAAUUUCCAAAUUAAGUGCAGCACAAAGGUUAUUUUUGCUUAUCUUUUAAAAAGUUUUCUUACUGUUCCAGGGAAGCUGACCCAGGUGCAGAGCAAGCUCUGAAUUCAAGAAUUGUAAUUGCACAUACUUUCUCAACAGUCCUUUUUUCAUACACCAGGACUUUGUAGCUCUGGCAUUAGAGACCAUUAUAUGGGAUUAAUUUAAACACAUGUGCAGCAAUUUUUACCAGUACUGAAAAAGAACCACCUUGCUUCUCUGAAGCAGCGCAAAAAUCUUUCAUGACUAAAGGCAGAGGAAAUGAUUUGUGUUUCUUUGUUGUUGCCUUUUUUCACUUCUUUUCUCAUCUGCACAUCCUGUUUUAGGGGGUACUUUGCCCAUCUCAUAACAGACUGUGUGUCUUAAGAAGGCUUAGUCUAUAGCAGAGGUUGCCCAGGCCCUUCUGUGUGUGUGUGUGGGUGUCUGUGUGAGAGUGGAUGUGAAAGAGUGAAUGCUAUCUUUUGUUCUAUAAGGUCUGUCUAAUAAUGGAUACGUCUGACAAACUAAUUAAAAAGUACAGGAAAGUCAGGAAAAUCAAUGAAAAAACAACAUUAAAAAAAAAAAAGGAAGAAAGGAAAACUAUACAAAUGUAUAGUUUUGAGUGCAAGGAUUCUAUGAUCUGUUUUGUGAAAUUGUUAGUUCUUUAAUUAGAGACUAGGAUAGAAAUCAGUCACACAAUUGUGGGAUGGGUUUCUGGGGAUGUGAGCUUGCUGUGUCUACCCAUUGUCUAGCUUUCGGAGUUGUUAGAAAAAUACAGUAACUUUCGUGAGUUUCCCACUGAACUAAUGGUUUUUAUAUAUAGAACUCCUAGUCAAGAUGAAGAGCAUAACCACGUGAAAUCCUUAGUCUUCAGAGCAAAGCAGACACCAUGGAACUGAAGUGGAACUGAAAAAAUGAAGAAAUUCCGCUUGUAACAUGAGUUGUCAUCCCCUCGUAGCAGAAAUGUCACACAUUGCAGCAUUGAGUAACCACCAGAGAACUUCUGUUUGUGAGGAAACCACUUACGUGAGAAGUCAAAGUAUCAUGAAUUAAAAAUAAAAGCUCUGAAGGUUGGCAGUUUUUACUUGCCUUUCAGAGACCAACAGCAGAAAUCAGAAGGUCACAGAAGAGCACUGAUAAAUAGCUGCCAGCAUCUUUACUGUUUCAGGCAUUACCUGACGUGUUACAUAUAGCCAGCUAAGCCUGAUCUAUGCAGAAGAAGAUGUUAUGAGUUAAAUUCCUCUUUGGCACAAACUGUUACCUUCACUGAAGUAAAGUAGUUUUUAGAAUAUAUGCUGGAUGGUGCAGGUCCUUAGAAUAUACUUUGUUAAUAUUAGUAAUUGGAUUUUUUUUGGUAUUUUUUAAACUUUCCAUGGCUGAUGCUGUGUGCUGUUUCAUUUUGUUGUGAGGAGGUACAGUAACUGACAGCUGUGGUGGAAGCAGAAACAGCCCAGCACUACACAGGAAGCUGUUGUGUGGCAGAUCCUGUUCCAGUCUAUGUGUUCUGCAGAUUUUCCAUGAGAGAUCAUAACACAGAAGACCCUUUCCAAAGAUCCUGGCUGUAAUUCUGUGACAGUAUCUGUGUGCCAGAAAUUUUUAAAAAGUAUCUUUUUAAAAGGCUUUCUCAUGGUUGUUAUUUUUGGUUUUUUUUGGGGUGCUGUGAUAGCCUUAUGUCAGGGUGUGAUAUACACCCAUAUUCUGUGGAUUUGAAGAAAGAAUCAGAGCUUUGUGUUUCUGUUUGAAAGUUGAAACUUAUCAGGUAUUAAAAGCUGUGUACCAAAGUGUGAUGAAAUCAGUGGACCUGUGAUUUUUGCAGCUGGCUUAACAGUCGUGGAAGUGGCUUAAUGGUUUUGUAGCAUUCCUUUCUCUGUUGUCAUACUUGGCUUUGUUUUUUUAACACCUCCAUGUAAAAUAAACUGCAGUUUCUCUGGAAGA